CAUCGCCUUCAUGUUAAAAGUCAUGUCUGCCCCGCUGCUGUCAUGGUAACGUUACGAUUCACCGUCACCCUCAUCUAAAGUUCGGCUGUUUCAUAUUUAUUUAUUUAUUUAACUCUGAUUACAGACAAUCUGACUGUCUGCGCAGUCUAGUCUCCAUCCAGCUGGAUCUGUGUCACAGGUGAGGAGCUAACAUUUGAUUUGAGGACUCACUUCAUCCAGAGGUUCACCUGACCAGGUGGAUUCUGUCUACAGGUAAACCUACAGCCCCCACCUCAGUCCCCCUCCAGCUUGUGUUCAGACUGAUCCGCCACCUGGUGGUCUUCUGUCCCUGCUGCAUCUCCACUGUCCUCAUGGUGUCUUCAUAUCGACGCAGGGCCGCAGGAAAUGACCUGAGAAGGGAUUGACAACAUUGACGAUGUCAUCACUGCUGUCUCCAGAGAAUUUCACGUCUGAGCUGAUCCAAGGGCGCCCUGACCAGGUUGGAGCGAGA